GAUGGAUUUUCGAAGAGAAAAUGAGUGAUUUUUGGGUUAAAUGGGGGAUUUUCAAAGAGAAACGGCAUGAUUUUUGGGUUAAAUGGGGAAUUUUCGAAAAGAAAACAGGUGAUUUUCAGGUUAAAUGGGGGAUUUUCAAAGAGAAAAUGGGUGAUUUCUGCAUAAAUGGGGGAUUUUUGAAAAGAAAACAGGUGAUUUUUGUGGUAAAUGGGGGAUUUUCAAAGAAAAAAUGGAUUAUUUUCGCUAAAAUGAAGGAUUUUCAAAGAGUAAAUGAAUGAUUUUCGCUUAACUUGGGGUUUUUCAAUGAGAAAAUGGGUGAUUUUCACUAAAAUGAGGGAUUAUCAAAGAGAAAAUGGGUGAUUUUUGUGUAAAUGAGGGAUUCUCGAAGGGAAAAUGGGUGAUUUUGGGGUUAAAUGGGGGAUUUUCAAAGAGAAAAUGCAUGAUUUUCUAGUUAAAUGGAUAACUUUUGAAGGGAAAAUGGUUGUUUUUUGCGUAAAUGGGGUUUUUCGAAAAGAAAACGGGUGAUUUUCGGGUUAAAUAGGGGACUUUCAAAGAAAAAAUGCGUGAUUUUUUAGUUAAAUGGGAAUUUUUUUUAAGAGAAAAUGAGUGAUUUUCGCUUAAAUUGGUUUUUUUCAAAGAGAAAAUGCAUGAUUUGGGGGAUAAAAGGGGGAUUUCUGAAGAGAAAAUGGGUGAUUUUUGCGUAAAUGAGCGAUUUUCGCAGAGAAAAUGGAUGAUUGUCGUGUUAAAUGGGGGAUUUUCGAAGAGAAAAUGGGUGAUUUUUGGGAUAAAUGGGGGGUUUUUGAAGAGAAAAUGGGUGAUUUCUGCGUAAAUGGAGGAUUUUUGAAGAGAAAACAGGUGAUUUUUGUGGUAAAUGGGGGAUUUUCAAAGAAAAAAUGGAUUAUUUUCGCUAAAAUGAAGGAUUUUCAAAGAGUAAAUGAAUGAUUUUUGCUUAAAUUGGGGAUUUUCAAUGAGAAAAUGGGUGAUUUUGGGGUUAA
rnacentral:lncRNA from 1 species